rnacentral:rRNA from 1 species
AAAGCCUGUCUCAGUUCGGAUUGGAGUCUGCAACCCGACUCCCAUGAAGCCGGAAUCGCUAGUAAUCGCGGAUCAGAAUGCCGCGGUGAAUACGUUCCCGGGUCUUGUACACACCGCCCGUCACACCAUGGGAGUUGGAAAUGCCCGAAGUCAGUGGCCCAACCGGAAGGGGGGAGCUGCCGAAGGCAGGUUCGAUGACUGGGGUGAAGUCGUAACAAGGUAAC